UACAAGUAGUAAAGGACUCGAGUCUCCUCUGCCACUAUGCCGUCGGUCGUAGUGAUGGAACAACAACAGCAGGUCUGUAGUAAGCUUUCUUACUGAGAGGAUGGAAGGAAGGGGUCCCUCUUUCACGUUUUUGUUUCUGGAUGAUU
rnacentral:ribozyme from 1 species